rnacentral:rRNA from 1 species
AUUGAACGCUGGCGGCAUGCCUUACACAUGCAAGUCGAACGGCAGCACGGGAGCAAUCCUGGUGGCGAGUGGCGAACGGGUGAGUAAUGUAUCGGAACGUGCCCAGUCGUGGGGGAUAACGUAGCGAAAGCUACGCUAAUACCGCAUACGAUCUGUGGAUGAAAGCGGGGGACCGUAAGGCCUCGCGCGAUUGGAGCGGCCGAUAUCAGACUUGGUAGGUGGUGGGGUAAAGGCCGACCAAGCCGACGAUCUGUAGCUGGGCUGGGAGGACCGACCAGGCGCACUGGAACUGGGACACGGCCCAGACUCCUACGGGAGGCAGCAGUGGGGAAUUUUGGGCAAUGGGCGCAAGCCUGAUCAAGCAAUGCCGCGUGCAGGAUGAAGGCCUUCGGGUUGUAAACUGCUUUUGUACGGAGCGAAAAGGCUCUCUCUAAUACAGGGGGCUCAUGACGGUACCGUAAGAAUAAGCACCGGCUAACUACGUGCCAGCCGCCGCCGUAA